rnacentral:rRNA from 1 species
GAUGAACGCUGGCGGCGUGCCUAACACAUGCAAGUCGAGCGAUCUUCUUCGGAAGAGAGCGGCGGACGGGUGAGUAACGCGUGGGUAACCUGCCCUGUACACACGGAUAACAUACCGAAAGGUAUGCUAAUACGAGAUAAUAUGCUUUAUCGCAUGGUAGAAGUAUCAAAGCUUUUGCGGUACAGGAUGGACCCGCGUCUGAUUAGCUGGUUGGUAAGGUAACGGCUUACCAAGGCGACGAUCAGUAGCCGACCUGAGAGGGUGAUCGGCCACAUUGGAACUGAGACACGGUCCAAACUCCUACGGGAGGCAGCAGUGGGGAAUAUUGCACAAUGGACGAAAGCCUGAUGCAGCAACGCCGCGUGAGCGAUGAAGGCCUUCGGGUCGUAAAGCUCUGUCCUCAAGGAAGAUAAUGACGGUACUUGAGGAGGAAGCCCCAGCUAACUACGUGCCAGCAGCCGCGUAAU